rnacentral:precursor_RNA from 14 species
UUUCAGCCAGAUCUUGCCCAGCUCUCUGGCUGAGGUAGUAGUUUGUGUAGUUAGGGGGCAGUGGUGUUUGCCCAUGGAGAUAACUAGACAAACUACUGCCUUGCCAGCGGUGGGCACAUUCGUCUGCAUUACGC